rnacentral:rRNA from 1 species
CCUACGGGGGGCAGCAGUGGGGAAUAUUGCGCAAUGGGCGUACGCCUGACGCAGCGACGCCGCGUGAGGGAUGAAGGUCUUCGGAUCGUAAACCUCUGUCAGCAGGGAAGCACGGUCACUGUGCUAAUCAGCAGUGAAUUGACGGUACCUGCAAAGGAAGCACCGGCUAACUCCGUGCCCGCACCCGCGGUAAUACGGAGGGUGCGAGGGUUAAUCGGAAUUACUGGGCGUAAAGCGCUCGUAGGGGGGAUGUCAAGUGCAGGGUGAAAUCCACGCGCGCAACGUGGGAUCUGCAUUUGAAACUGGCAAACUGGAGUGGGUGAGAGGAAAGUGGAAUUCGAGGUGUAGGAGUGAAAUGCGUAGAUAUCUGGAAGAACAUCAGUGGCGAAGGCGACAAUCUGGCACAUAACUGACGCUGAGGAGCGAAAGCGUGGGUAGCAAACAGGAUUAGAUACCCUUGUAGUC